AAAUCAUUUACAACUUUCAACAACGGAUCUCUUGGUUCUGGCAUCGAUGAAGAACGCAGCGAAAUGCGAUACGUAGUGUGAAUUGCAGAAUUCAGUGAAUCAUCGAAUCUUUGAACGCACAUUGCGCCCUUUGGUAUUCCAAAGGGCAUGCCUGUUCGAGCGUCAUUUGUACCCUCAAGCUUUGCUUGGUGUUGGGCGUUUUUGUCUUUGGCCCGCCAAAGACUCGCCUUAAAAUGAUUGGCAGCCGGCCUACUGGUUUCGCAGCGCAGCACAUUUUUGCGCUUGCAAUCAGCAAAAGAGGACGGCAAUCCAUCAAGACUCCUUCUCACGUUUGACCUCGGAUCAGGUAGGGAUACCCGCUGAACUUAAGCAUAUCAAUAAGCGGAGGAA
rnacentral:rRNA from 1 species